UUCAGAUUUUACUCCACUAGUCAUUGCCAACUAUUCAUCUUUGUUUCAGGGCCCCUGAGCCAGCGUUGUCCGAAGACAUUUCUAUGGUUAUGUGGUCAGCAUGGCAUCAUGGAGUGCUGUUACCUUCCCACCAAAGUGGUCUCUGGGAAAUAAGGAAAAAAGAAACAUAAGAUGUUGCACUGAAGAAUGGGUGAAUUUUGUUCUUGAUGGAUCCUUGAGGAUAAGGGUUGAAACUUUCUUAAGAUUUGUCUUAUAUUGUUUGAAGAACAUCCUUCAUAAAAAUUAUGCUUUGAACAAAAGAAAAAAUAAUUCUUUUCUUGCCCACUUCUGGUAACAUCACAGGAAGAUGAAUGGUUGCCCAAGAAUACAAGUGACCAGGACUUGCACAAAGAAAAAGAGGAAGACAUGCAUCUGAAAACUCAUUGAUGGAUGUAAAUUAAGAGCUGCUGGUUUGAAAAAAGAAAAAUACAUUUCUAAGCUUAGGAGAAUUUAUGGAAUCAAAAGGCUCAUCCUGCAUUUGGGGAUAGAGUAAGGAUGUUUCCUCUGAGACUCUGGGUCAGGUUUACGAGGGUUUGGGAAGGAUCUCCAUGGGAAAUCCACAUGAGAAAAGUAUGUCUAAGAAAAGAGCUCCAGCAAUUGGCCUAUCAUGUAGGCCAAUUGAAAUAUGUCACUUAAAAGGAUGACUAUAUGGUUAAAUAAAAUAUUUAGAUUAAGAGAAUAUAUUAUGAUAUAUAUAUGAUAUACUAGAAAUAUAUGUAUAAAAGAUAUAUUAAGAUAAGAAAGAUAAAAUGUAUAAA